rnacentral:lncRNA from 1 species
UGUGUACGUUUCCGUGCGAGAACCGCUGGACACCGGAAAUCAUGAUCUGUAAAUGGAAGUCAUCCAUUUCUUUUAGGUUCCUGUGCUCCAUCAGAAACCUUUCCCAUACCUUCUUCUUGUUAUCCUCCUAACAGCGUGUCUAUUAAACUUUUGGUUCCUUGGGAAUUACUCGGCCCGCAGCCCUGAUAAAGGAAGCCAAUCAGAACCCGGGUUUUAAUGAGUGGGGAUCACCAUUAUCUCAUUUUAAUUUGCAUUAAUCCAACAGCCCCGGCUCUCCUUUAUUCCUGUGUUGCUGUGUUCCUCUGGAAAAUCUUGCUUUUCUUUUCUUUUCAUGUUCAGCUUGGCUGUCCUGCCUCUCUCUAAAUUUACUUGUGUGUAUUAAUCUCUCUUCUGAUUGUUAUGUCAUUCUGAAUUGGACUUUACUGCGUGGUGUUGCUUUGGAUUUUUGUUUCUGUUUUUUUGUUUUCCGAGAAUGUGGUAUUGUUUUCUAACACCGUUUUUAGCACAUGUGCAAGCUAUUGAUUUUUGUCAUCCUGGUUUACUGGAAUUUACUCUAAGAUCUGCUUUCUGCCUCACUAGCUCUCAGGAAAAAUGAAUCUGAAAGUAAUUACGAUUUUAUCUUUUAUAUCUUAAUGUUGGUAUGUACUUUAUUUUCUUUUUAAAAUUUUGAUCCCGUUAUACAAAUCACUAACUUAUAGAGUUUGGCCAUGCUGUAUGUGCGUGUAUAUAGGCUUAUUAAGUCACACAAGAAUAAAUGACCAGAAUCUGCUCUGCAAAGACAUCUGUCUGCCUGAAGUCUUUUCCCUGAGUCUCAACUUCUCCAUUUGUGAAAGGAAGUGCAGAAACAAGGAAGACCAACAACAUCACCACAUACUGACAAAGCUCUGGAGCAUCUAGACCACACUGGAGUCUGAGUGUGUAUUGUGGCUCUCCAGAAAGUCUCCAGGCCUUCAGCAGCUGAUUGGAAGCACCAAGACAUUCACCUUUCGGACUGGGCAGCUACUGGGGUUCCAGAUUCUCCAGAUGUAGACAGGAAUUGUUAGACUAAGCCAAAUCAGUAAAUCCCAUUUUGCUACAUACACACAUACACACACAUUCUAUCAGUUAUGCUCUUAGAUAACCCUGAUAUAUGUAUGUGUAUGUAUGUAUAUACAAUAUAUAUCACACACAAACACACAUACACAUAUAUAUGUAUAUAUACAUAUAUCUUUAUGUACAUCCUGUGUUAUUGAGUAUCUUCAAUGGGCUAGGGAGUGCUUUCAUCUUGACAACUGAGCAAUUAAAAGAAAAAUUUUAAUUAAGCAUUAAAAAUUAAAAGCAUUAAAUAUAUUUUUUUUAAACUGAGUUCAUGAAACAACAUUGGAGCAAGUGGAGACAAAAUAAUCAGGUAGAAACUUGAGGAUGUGACCAUUUUUGAAGACACGUUAACUUCCAAAGCGGGAAGAAUCAAAGAGGAGGUAUACACUUUGAAACAGGAUCACUUGGAAGGUCUCCCGGGAGAAGGCGGCAUCUGUCUCGACCACAGAAGGGAAGGUGCAGGCCUCUGCAGGGAUAACACCAUAGAAUCUGGCGGACUGAAGCUAAGGUCCUGGGUGAGGACAUCACCACUGCCCGUGUCUAAAGAAGAGCAACAAGAAAAGUUACGUGGUUCCUCGAAGGAAACGGGAAAUGAGAACAGAGCCAGUUCAUAACAAACAGCAGGCUGAGAUUGGCAUUUGGGUGUCUUGUUUUUUUCUGGAAGAAGUCGGAUGGUACAGGUUUGUGGCAUUCUGGACAGCACACAGCACACGUCUCUUAACUAAGAUACCUCACAUGGCCACAGCAGCAUGGACAUAGUCACAGAACGCACUGAACACGAAACAAGUGGCUGUGUGCCAAUAAAACUUUAUUUGUGG